rnacentral:rRNA from 1 species
AGGACGAACGCUGGCGGCGUGCUUAACACAUGCAAGUCGAGCGGUGAACCACUUCGGUGGGAAUCAGCGGCGAACGGGUGAGUAACACGUGGGCAACCUGCCCCUAGCUCUGGGAUAACCCCGGGAAACCGGGGCUAAUACCGGAUAUGACCUCGAGCGGCAUCUCUCGAGGUGGAAAGAUUUAUCGGCUAGGGAUGGGCCCGCGGCCUAUCAGCUUGUUGGUGGGGUAAUGGCCUACCAAGGCGACGACGGGUA